GACAGAGGGGGCAAGCGUUGCUCGGAAUUACUGGGCGUAAAGGGCGCGUAGGCGGGAUGGCAAGUCGGUCGUGAAAUCCCUCGGCUCAACCGAGGAACGUCGAUCGAUACUGCUGUUCUUGAGGAUUGCAGAGGAGACUGGAAUUCCCGGUGUAGCGGUGAAAUGUGUAGAGAUCGGGAAGAACAUCAGUGGCGAAGGCGGUCUGCUGGGCCGUUGCUGACGCUGAGGCGCGACAGCGUGGGGAGCAAACAGG
rnacentral:rRNA from 1 species